rnacentral:rRNA from 1 species
UGGCUCAGGAUGAACGCUAGCGAUAGGCUUAACACAUGCAAGUCGAGGGAGGAGCCUUCGGGCUUCGACCGGCGUACGGGUGCGUAACGCGUAUACAAUCUGCCUUUCACAUAGGGAUAGCCCGAAGAAAUUUGGAUUAAUACCUAAUGGUAUAUAGUUGUGGCAUCACAUUUAUAUUAAAGCUGAGGCGGUGAAAGAUGAGUAUGCGUUCUAUUAGCUAGUUGGAGAGGUAACGGCUCCCCAAGGCUACGAUAGAUAGGGGUUCUGAGAGGGAUAUCCCCCACACUGGUACUGAGAUACGGACCAGACUCCUACGGGAGGCAGCAGUGAGGAAUAUUGGACAAUGGUCGGAAGACUGAUCCAGCCAUGCCGCGUGCAGGAAGACGGCCUUAUGGGUUGUAAACUGCUUUUGCAGGGGAAGAAUAAGGACUACGUGUAGUUUGAUGACGGUACUCUGCGAAUAAGCAUCGGCUAACUCCGUGCCAGCAGCCGCGGUAAUACGGAGGAUGCGAGCGUUAUCCGGAAUCAUUGGGUUUAAAGGGUCCGUAGGCGGGCUAAUAAGUCAGAGGUGAAAGCGCUCAGCUCAACUGAGCAACUGCCUUUGAAACUGUUAGUCUUGAAUGGUUGUGAAGUAGUUGGAAUGUGUAGUGUAGCGGUGAAAUGCUUAGAUAUUACACAGAACACCGAUAGCGAAAGGCAUAUUACUAACAAUUAAAUUGACGCUGAUGGACGAAAGCGUGGGGAGCGAACAGGAUUAGAUACCCU